rnacentral:ncRNA from 1 species
GUGUAGGUGUGCUCGCCGAGCGUGAAGCUGCUGCGAUAAAUCUACUGAUUUCCCGCAGCAGCUUC